rnacentral:rRNA from 1 species
UUGAACGCUGGCGGCAUGCCUUACACAUGCAAGUCGAACGGUAGAGUAGCAAUACUCGAGAGUGGCGAACGGGUGAGUAAUAUAUCGGAACGUGCCCAGUCGUGGGGGAUAACGUAGAGAAAUUUACGCUAAUACCGCAUACGAUCUAAGGAUGAAAGCGGGGGACUCGCAAGGGCCUCGCGCGAUUGGAGCGGCUGAUAUCAGAUUAGCUAGUUGGUGGGGUAAAGGCUCACCAAGGCGACGAUCUGUAGCUGGUCUGAGAGGACGACCAGCCACACUGGAACUGAGACACGGUCCAGACUCCUACGGGAGGCAGCAGUGGGGAAUUUUGGACAAUGGGCGCAAGCCUGAUCCAGCAAUGCCGCGUGCAGGAUGAAGGCCUUCGGGUUGUAAACUGCUUUUGUACGGAACGAAAAGACUCCUUCUAAUAAAGGGGGUUCAUGACGGUACCGUAAGAAUAAGCACCGGCUAACUACGU